CCCAGAGCUGCUACAAGCAGGUGAAAGAGAAAGAGCAGAGUCUGCAGUUUUAGGCUGUUUCCCGAGUGCCUUUUGCAGAAUUGAGUAUUUUGAUUAAGAAAUAAGCUUUAAUCCCCUAGCUGGCUGCCAGCCGAGCUCCAUGCAGCUGCUCUGGCCAAGCAGGGCAGUCUCCUGCUGGAGCAGAAGCUUUUGCUGAAGAACGAGGUAUUUUCUCGUUAAAGCAGUUACAGCUGGGACCCCAUCCUGCCUCAUUGCAAGCUGCUGCCAAUGAACUGAGGUUCAAGUCCCUGCUCAAGAUACCUGCCAUUUUGAAGAGCAAUAUUUCUUAGGCAUGCCAAGAUCCUCCAAGGCUGACAUCAGUUCUGCAGAGCAAGUGCUUCAGACAUGGAUACAGAAUCACAGAAUGGUUGGGGUUGGAAGGGACUUCUGGAGAUCAUCCAGUCCAACCCCCUGCUAAAGCAGGUUCUCCUAGAGCAGGUUGCAUAGUCAUGUCCAGGUCGGUUUUGAAUUUCACCGGUGAAGGAGACUCCAGAGCCUCUCUGGGCAGCCUGUUCCAGUGCUCUGUCACCCUCAAAGCAAAGAAGUUCUUCCUCAUAUUCAGGUAGAACUUCCCGUGUUGCAGUUUGUGCCCAUUGCCCCUUGUCCUGUCACUGGGCACCACUGAAAAGAGCCUGGCCCCAUCCUCCUGACACUUGCCCAAAGAUACUUGUAGACAUUGACAAGGACCCCUCUCAGUCUUCUCUUCUCCAGGCUACACAGGCCCAGCUCUCUCAGCCUGUCCUCAUCAGGGAGAUGCUCCAGUCCCCUCAUCACCUUUGUAGCCCUCCGCUGGGCCCUCUCCAGUGGUACCCUGUCUCUCUUGAACUGGGGAGCCCAGCACUGGACACAGCACUCCAGAUGUGCCCUCACCAGGGCAGACCAGAGGAGCAGGAGAACCUCCCUCCACCUGCUGGCCACGCUCCUCCUGAUGCACCCCAGGGUCCCACUGGCCUUCCUGGCCACCAGGGCACACUGCUGGCUCAUGGGCAACUUAGAUGCCUUGCUGGUGACUCCUGCAAGGUGUUGUAAAGAGGAUGGAUGCCCAAGAACUCAACAGUGCAAGGACUGCGCGUACCAGGAGCUGAAACAUCGGUGCUGUGGCUUGAUGGAUUCGAGAUGGCUGAAGUCUGAUAAUAUGGACCCAACAUUCAGCACUGGCUCCUAUGAACCUAGCCUUAGAUUACUGACACGAACUUUGCUGCAGAAACACGGUUGAAUUCAGUGGGAAUCCGGGGCCAAAUACUGCUGAGGACGUGAGUUUACUUUUCUCAUGCCAGCUGCCCUAGCAUAAUGGCUUCUUUGGAAAACGUAAUCUUUGCCAUGAAGCUCACGUAUACUUAAAGACACCAUAGGAUAAAUAUAAUGAACCACAAUAUCAUUUUGAGCCUAAAAUCAUUAUUGAAGUCCCAUAACAGAACAGUUCAGUGUGCUGCAGGUUGCAAUAAGGAAAGCAAGGGCUUAAAUGUACCAUGUUUCUUGUGCCAAUGGACAAAAUGAGCACACAAAGGAAAAGUGAUUCUUUAGUGUAUGCAAAUUUAUUCAACUCUGCAAUUGUUUAUUUACAAUUAAUGACUGAUACCAACAGAUGAGGUAAAAAUAUGAGGUAUUGAUAUGAGUAUAACAUUUAAAAAUGCAAUUAUCAUAAUGUAUUCUCAAUGGCAAUGUAACAAUAAAAAUACUGUGGUAGCUGAAUGGUAGACAUGGCAUAAUGUGCAUUUUAAAGAAAUUUUAUUUCAUUGAUACACAGCUUAAAGAUGCCAUAAGCACAUGACUGAGCUUCUGCAAGGGUAGGACAACCCUACCUUGCUAACAGGUGGCACAGGACCCCUUCCAGCUAAGUGAUGACUUGUCAGACAGGAUAAAACCACUGUCCAGGUUUUCCCUUCAUUUUAGUAAGAAUUUUUUACUGUUAGACAAUUGCCAUUCCGAGGGCCAGAAAUUCUGUGCCCGUUAAUACUGAGGCACUAUUGUAUUUCUUUAUGCAAACUAAUGUAGCAGAAGUGCUCUAAUUGGUGGUGUUUUGGAAAACAGCUGGCACAAAACCUGCUGCCUUGGCUACAGGUGUUUGGGGACAAGGUGCCGCUUUCUGGGGCGGCAAUCCUGCUGGAACCAGGGGCUGGCCUUGCCCUGCCAGCUUACAAGCCACGGCUUGCUCCCGGGAAGGCUGGACCUAGGCACCGUGGGUGCCCUGCGGCUGGCUGCUGACUGCCAGACCUCAGCACGGUCAUGCAAGGGUGUGAGCCUUCCCCUGUCUUUUACACUUGAAAUCUGGCAGUCCUUGCAUAUUGCCUUGCUGGCCCUACGCUCAAGGCAGGAGAGGCCCAUGGGCAGCCAGCCUCCCUCAUCCUAUGAGUUACACAAUAAGACACGGGUGAGAGCUCACGGGGGAAGACAAGAGUGACUUUGUAAGGGUCCUGCUGUUCCAAGGGGACGCUGUGCUGGCUCACCCUGCCUCUCUCCGCUGGCUUGCUUCCUCGGAUUGCAGGACUGUCCCCCACCAGUGCAGCCCUCACAUGUGUGCACGAUGGCACCGUGCUCUAGCAGCUAUCAAGGACCACACGUGGUCCACCCCACAGCCCCUGUACCUGGGGCAGGCUCAAUGCACUGGUUUUGAAGAGACUUCCCCGUUUAGUGAAUCAGGGCACAAAGCCAUAGCUUCGAGUAGGAAAUGUAUCCUGCUUAAUUGAUCUCAUACUAAUCUUAAUGGAUUUUGUUGGAAGGACUGAGCUAAAACACUGGCUAUGAAUGACACAGCUAAUUUAUGCAGCAAUAAAUAAAGUCAAAGUGAACAAAUGCGAUUAAUGAAGAACAGUAUUAACAGGCUUGUACAUUCUUAUUGAGUCAUAGAUGUAAUAUCAUUUUUGGUCUUAGGUUAGUUAAAAACAAAACAGAACUCUGCCUCAAAGGUAACGUUGACAAAUUAUUAUUAUUAUUACUUUUAAAGCAUUCUUCCAUUAGCAAAAUAAUAGGUCCCUGAAAAUGAAAUUAUUUAAUAGGCUUAAAUGGCUCCUACUCCUCAUAGUCAGGGGCUAAUUCUGCUCCCACCAAUGCCUACAGAGGCAGGGACAUGCAGAUCAGUGCAAUAUAAUAUGAAAAUGCUUGCUGUUACAAUAAAAGCAAUUUUUCCAAGCAUAGUCUGCAUUUAGUCUUUUAAAUCUCAGAGAUGUGUUUAAAAGCUUAAAAAAGUUCAGUUAUUUGUACAGUAAGAAUAUUACAAGGCAUGGUAUUCAUCUGCAUGUUUUUGUGUCCAUGGGAUAUGGAAAAUCUGCUUUGGAGAUUUUUAACAGCCAUCUCUAUGGGAGAAGGAAAGAACACAGAAACACUCAGAACAUAGACAAAAUCCUAAAAAAAAAAAAAAAAAAAAAUUAG
rnacentral:lncRNA from 1 species